rnacentral:tRNA from 1 species
GGGCGAGUGGCCAAGAGGCUAAGGCGGUUGACUGCAAAUCUUCGAUCAGAGGUUCGAAUCCUCUCUCGCUCUCCA